rnacentral:rRNA from 1 species
UGCAGUCGAACGGUGAUGAUGGGGCUUGCCCUGUCUGAUCAGUGGCGAACGGGUGAGUAACACGUGAGUAACCUGCCCCUGACUCUGGGAUAACCGUGGGAAACGACGGCUAAUACCGGAUAUGAGACGUCCACGCAUGUGGAGCGUCUGGAAAGAUUUAUUGGUCUGGGAUGGACUCGCGGCCUAUCAGCUUGUUGGUGGGGUAAUGGCCUACCAAGGCGACGACGGGUAGCCGGCCUGAGAGGGCGACCGGCCACACUGGGACUGAGAUACGGCCCAGACUCCUACGGGAGGCAGCAGUGGGGAAUAUUGCACAAUGGGCGAAAGCCUGAUGCAGCGACGCCGCGUGGGGGAUGAAGGCCUUCGGGUUGUAAACCCCUUUCAGCAGGGAAGAAGCGAAAGUGACGGUACCUGCAGAAGAAGCGCCGGCUAACUACGUGCCAGCAGCCGCGGUAAUACGUAGGGCGCAAGCGUUGUCCGGAAUUAUUGGGCGUAAAUGAGCUCGUAGGCGGUUUGUCCGCGUCUGCUGUGAAAUCUCUGAGG